rnacentral:rRNA from 1 species
CUCAGGACGAACGCUGGCGGCGUGCCUAAUACAUGCAAGUCGUACGCUUCUUUUUCCACCGGAGCUUGCUCCACCGGAAAAAGAAGAGUGGCGAACGGGUGAGUAACACGUGGGUAACCUGCCCAUCAGAAGGGGAUAACACUUGGAAACAGGUGCUAAUACCGUAUAACAAUCGAAACCGCAUGGUUUUGAUUUGAAAGGCGCUUUCGGGUGUCGCUGAUGGAUGGACCCGCGGUGCAUUAGCUAGUUGGUGAGGUAACGGCUCACCAAGGCCACGAUGCAUAGCCGACCUGAGAGGGUGAUCGGCCACAUUGGGACUGAGACACGGCCCAAACUCCUACGGGAGGCAGCAGUAGGGAAUCUUCGGCAAUGGACGAAAGUCUGACCGAGCAACGCCGCGUGAGUGAAGAAGGUUUUCGGAUCGUAAAACUCUGUUGUUAGAGAAGAACAAGGAUGAGAGUAACUGUUCAUCCCUUGACGGUAUCUAACCAGAAAGCCACGGCUAACUACGUGCCAGCAGCCGCGGUAAUACGUAGGUGGCAAGCGUUGUCCGGAUUUAUUGGGCGUAAAGCGAGCGCAGGCGGUUUCUUAAGUCUGAUGUGAAAGCCCCCGGCUCAACCGGGGAGGGUCAUUGGAAACUGGGAGACUUGAGUGCAGAAGAGGAGAGUGGAAUUCCAUGUGUAGCGGUGAAAUGCGUAGAUAUAUGGAGGAACACCAGUGGCGAAGGCGGCUCUCUGGUCUGUAACUGACGCUGAGGCUCGAAAGCGUGGGGAGCAAACAGGAUUAGAUACCCUGGUAGUCCACGCCGUAAACGAUGAGUGCUAAGUGUUGGAGGGUUUCCGCCCUUCAGUGCUGCAGCUAACGCAUUAAGCACUCCGCCUGGGGAGUACGACCGCAAGGUUGAAACUCAAAGGAAUUGACGGGGGCCCGCACAAGCGGUGGAGCAUGUGGUUUAAUUCGAAGCAACGCGAAGAACCUUACCAGGUCUUGACAUCCUUUGACCACUCUAGAGAUAGAGCUUCCCCUUCGGGGGCAAAGUGACAGGUGGUGCAUGGUUG